rnacentral:lncRNA from 1 species
ACACGUGGCAUGUGGUAUCCCACUAAUUAGCUAUUUUAAACAUGUGACAAGUGGUAUGACACUGUAUUGAUGUAUGUGAAAUGUAUAGUUAUAGUUAUAAUGUAUAGUCUUUUAGUUAU